AUUUAAAAUGUAUUUGUAAAUACUAAAGUAGUAUUAGUUAUGUUCUUGAAACUUAAAAAAUUUGGCGGUAUUUUAGUCUAUUCAGAGGAACUUGUUCUAUAAUCGAUAAUCCACGAUGGACCUUACUUAAAUUUGUUAAUCAGUUUAUAUACCGUCGUUAUUAGAAUAUUUUAUAAGAAUAAUAAUUUUCAUAAAAUUUUAUUAAAUUAUAUAUCAGAUCAAGGUGUAGCUUAUGUUUAAGUAGAAAUGAGUUACAAUAAAUUUAUUUAUACGGAAGUAGAUAUGAAAAAUUUACUGAAGGUGGAUUUGAUAGUAAAAUUAUAAAGAUUAAUAAUUUGAUUUUAGCUCUAAAAUAUGU
rnacentral:rRNA from 1 species